rnacentral:lncRNA from 1 species
UUGUUUAUUCACAUUCUUUGUUGAAUACUUUUGAACCUGUUUGUUCUUUGGAUGUUUUGAAGUUUUUGGUGAUCAAUAUGCGCUACCAGUUUAAGAGAGGCUAAUAAGAAUGUUUGUUCAUAGUUUAUUAAGUAUCAAAUUUCUCUCUUAAAAAAAAAUAUCAAAUGUCUAGUUAUUUUCAUAUUUUUAGUGAUCAAUAAGCUCUAUAAAUAAAAUGAUUGUAUC